GAUUACUAACACGUUAAUCUAACUAUCAAAAACGACUAUGUAUUAACCCCUUACCAUAUUCGGCCAACCAUGCCUAAAACCCUAUUGCUCUUACCUUCUUGCCGAAAUUUGGAUUAGAUCCAAGGAUCCAACCGAAUAGUCUUCAAGUCCUUCGCUGGACGCUCCCUUGUCCACACUAAUGCUUACAUAUUCAAAAAAGAAAUAGGCAUAAUGCCCUUAGUCCAAACGUUAG
rnacentral:lncRNA from 1 species